rnacentral:tRNA from 1 species
GCCUGGGUGGCUCAGUCGGUUAAGCAUCCGACUUUGGCUCAGGUCAUGAUCUCGUGGUCCGUGGGUUCGAGCCCCGCGUCAGGCU